rnacentral:rRNA from 1 species
UACGUAGGUGGCAAGCGUUAUCCGGAUUUAUUGGGCGUAAAGGGAACGCAGGCGGUCUUUUAAGUCUGAUGUGAAAGCCUUCGGCUUAACCGGAGUAGUGCGUUGGAAACUGGGAGACUUGAGUGCAGAAGAGGAGAGUGGAACUCCAUGUGUAGCGGUGAAAUGCGUAGAUAUAUGGAAGAACACCAGUGGCGAAAGCAGCUCUCUGGUCUGUAACUGACGCUGAGGUUCGAAAGCGUGGGUAGCAAACAGG